rnacentral:rRNA from 1 species
GACGUAGGAUGCAAGCGUUGUCCGGAUUCAUUGGGCGUAAAGAGUUCGUAGGCGGUUUGUUAAGUCUGAUGUUAAAGAUUGGGGCUCAACCCUGAAAGUGCAUUGGAUACUGGCAGACUGGAGUGCAGUAGAGGCGAGUGGAAUUCCCAGUGUAGCGGUGAAAUGCGUAGAUAUUGGGAAGAACACCGGUGGCGCAGGCGACUCGCUGGGCUGUAACUGACGCUGAGGAACGAAAGCUAGGGGAGCAAACAGG